rnacentral:rRNA from 1 species
UGUGGAACUUAAAAAUAACGAUCACCUCCUCACCAACACUGCCCACCGGGCUUACCCACACAAAAUACCUGAUCGACAUUUUUCGGUUGGGGCGACCUUGGAGAAAAACAAAUCCUCCAAACCUACAGACCACAACUCUUCACUAAGAUCAACUCAUCAAAGUACUAAUAGUAAUCUAGACCCAAUAUAAUUGACUGAUGAACCAAGCUACCCCA